rnacentral:rRNA from 1 species
UACGUAGGGUGCGAGCGUUGUCCGGAAUUACUGGGCGUAAAGAGCUCGUAGGUGGUUUGUCGCGUUGUUCGUGAAAUACCACAGCUUAACUGUGGGCGUGCGGGCGAUACGGGCAGACUGGAGUACUGCAGGGGAGACUGGAAUUCCUGGUGUAGCGGUGGAAUGCGCAGAUAUCAGGAGGAACACCGGUGGCGAAGGCGGGUCUCUGGGCAGUAACUGACGCUGAGGAGCGAAAGCGUGGGGAGCGAACAGG